GCCUGGCUGGCUCAGUCAUUAGAGCGUGUGACUCUUGAUCUCAGGGUCGUGAGGUUGAGCCUCACAUUGGGUG
rnacentral:tRNA from 1 species